GAGUAGUGAGAAAGUGAUAGGAUCAUAGAGUAGUGAGAAAAAUGAUAGGAUCGUAGAGAACUCUAUGAUCCUAUCAUAUUCUCACUACUCUAUGAUCCUAUCACUUUCUUACUACUCUAU
rnacentral:pre_miRNA from 1 species